GGGGAUUUAGCUCAGCUGGUAGAGCAUCUGCUUUGCAAGCAGAGGGUCAGCGGUUCGAAUCCGCUAAUCUCCACCA
rnacentral:tRNA from 1 species